rnacentral:lncRNA from 12 species
ACACAUCAGGCGUGUGCAGGGCGGGGGUGCAGAUCCUAGCGAGAACAGAAGCUAGGAAAGAAGCAAGGUCGAAGAAAAAAAAACCCACAAAACUUUUUUUUUUCUCUUUUGGGGUCCUUUCAGUUUCCGUCUGCCAGUGACGGGCUUCUUCUCUUCAGUCUCCCCUUCAACCUUUUCCUUGCAGUCAGCUGGGGAGAUGGGGCUUCGGAAUGGACGGGGGCGGGGGGGUGGGGAGACGGCCUUGCACGUCACCUCGUAAGUGGACUUCCAAAAGCCCUUUCAAAAAAGGCGAGACGUGAGGGGGCUGCUGCUCACAUGCAUUUGCAAGGAUGUCAAACAUGUGUCUGAAAAGAGGUCAGACGUGUGUGUGACAGUGAAGGAGGCACAUUACGAGUCCUGGAGAACAAAAAGGCCACGACAUUGAGAUUCUAUAAUGGGGUCGUGGUUGCACAAGGCGCUAAAGUCUUAAGGGUACUUUAGGUUGGUUGACUUUUUAAUGGGACGAGAAGUUUCUAGAUUGGGGAGGGGCUGAUUUUCUCUCCUAUCCUAUCUCGGUCAUCUUUUUUUUUUUUUUUUUUUUAAAGGUUGUAUUUAUUUAUUCGAGAGAGGGAGUGAGCAAGCGUGAGCGAGAGAGCCCGAGCUGGGAGAGGAGAUGGGGGAGCAGAGGGGAGCAGAGGACCUGCCGACCGGGAGCCUCACGCCGGGCUCCAUCCGGGACUCGGCAUCAUGAGCUGAGCCCAAGGCAGAUGCUUCAUCGACUGGGCCCCCCAGGCGCCCCCCACCUUGACCGUCCUGUCCUGUCGCUCCUUCCGGACAGGCUGACCCCGAGAGGGCGCUCAAAGGACACCCUCGGUUAAGGUGCCUGUUGCCUGGAAACUCCCUGUGAAUUUGCUGGUGACCUCACUCAUCAACCUUUGGGAUAGCAGUCUGUGUUCUGCUCUCUGCUUUUUGAUAAGAGGUACUUGCAGAUCUGAGCUUGGCCCAUAAGGAGGCUUCACAGGCAAAAGGUAAGUUUUUGGAAUUGGCACUUCUGACAAGGCUUUCAUGGUGCAAACAUUAAAAGCCCUUGUGUAAGCAAAGAAGAAAGAUCUCAGGUAGCUGGGAACUUUUGCCGUCUUCCAUAACCCACCCGUGGAAGACUGACCAUGGACUCAAGUCAUAGACUAAGAAUGAGAGUAGUAUUGUAGAGUUAUAUUGCUUAGUUUUUGUAUGUCCAAGUACAUAUGGAUGUUUUAAAACAUAUUUAUUUCUUCUGAGGAUUCUGAGGCUUUGUUCUGAAUUUGACAGAGAAGAGCAACUAUUACUUCAGUGAAUAUAAUUCGUAGAUAAUUUGUAAAAUGAGAGAAAGAAAUUAUUAUUGGAAGUCUAUUCCUUCAUAGUUAGCUAUUUUAAGAGUUUUUAUCAGGGCACCUGAGUGGCUCAGUGGUUGAGCGUGUGCCUUUGGUUCAGGGCAUGACCCCAGGGUCCCGGGAUCGAGUACCGCAUCGGGCUUCCCACAGAGAGCCUGCUUCUCCCUCUGCCUCUGUCUCUGCCUCUCUCUGUCUCUCACGAAUGAAUAAAAUAAAAUCUUUAAAAAAAAUUUUUUUUCCU